GAUGAAGAACGCAGCGAAAUGCGAUAAGUAAUGUGAAUUGCAGAAUUCAGUGAAUCAUCGAAUCUUUGAACGCACAUUGCGCCCGUCAGUAUUCUGGCGGGUAUGCCUGUUCGAGCGUCAUUACGCCCCUCAAGUCCCCUGUGGACUUGGUGUUGGGGAUCGGCGAGGCUGGUUUUCCAGCACAGCCGUCCCUUAAAUUAAUUGGCGGUCUCGCCGUGGCCCUCCUCUGCGCAGUAGUAAAACACUCGCAACAGGAGCCCGGCGCGGUCCACUGCCGUAAAACCCCCCAACUUUUUAUAGUUGACCUCGAAUCAGGUAGGACUACCCGCUGAACUUAAGCAUAUCAAUAAGCAGAGGA
rnacentral:misc_RNA from 1 species